GUACACGUACAAGUUAGCUCUAAAAAAGUGGACUCUCACAUCACGUCCAAUGCAUAGUAAUUAAUUCUAGACGGAGUUCAGUUUAUAAACAUGUUAUAUGAGGCACACACAAAAAUAUUUAAGCCGAAAAUUACACACAGGUUUGCAUUCAUCGCUCUCCCAACACCCCGGGCUACACAAAUGAAAUAAAAAUAAAACGCCCAGGACUACGCGUUUGGCUGGCGGUGCCGCGAGUACCCACGAGCGUCCAGUCCAGCGCUACAGGACCCUGACAUCUUGCUCCUUCGUUGUGGCCGAUUGCCGGCGUUUGAGUCGUUGAAGCCACACGAACUUAGGAGAUCUAUUCUCUCAUCUGAGAACAGGAAUAAUGCAUUUUUCAGUCCUUAAACCAGUCAUCGUUCAUCGGUGUGUAUGCUAUAAUAUGCAUUGAGCGAACCGUAAAUUGGAUGCACGUUUCUCUCCAGGUAGUGGACAUGUGGGCAAUGGAGGUGUAUGUUCAGGUGACGGCGGCUUUGUUGCUUUUUUUCGUGUGUGUUCUUAAUUUGGGGUUUUGCUUGAUUAUGCCUUAAUCAAUCAAGGCGGAUUUGACUAGGACCCGCCAAGAAGAAAUUGGAUACCCAUCCACUGAUUUUCGCACGGUUUUCUAAAAGACUGUGUUGAUUUUAUAGCCUUUAUAUCGGU
rnacentral:lncRNA from 1 species